GAGGAAUUUUGCGCAAUGGGGGCAACCCUGACGCAGCAACGCCGCGUGAGUGAUGAAGGCUUUCGGGUCGUAAAGCUCUGUCGAGUGGGAAGAAACAGUUCAGGUUAAUAUCCUGAACCUUGACGGUACCACUAAAGGAAGCACCGGCUAACUCCGUGCCAGCAGCCGCGGUAAUACGGGGGGUGCAAGCGUUAUUCGGAAUUAUUGGGCGUAAAGGGUGCGUAGGCGGUUUUGUAAGUCAGAUGUGAAAUCCCGGGGCUUAACCUCGGAACUGCAUUUGAUACUGCAAGACUUGAGUAUGGGAGAGGGAAGCGGAAUUCCUGGUGUAGAGGUGAAAUUCGUAGAUAUCAGGAGGAACACCGGUGGCGAAGGCGGCUUCCUGGACCAAUACUGACGCUGAGGCACGAAGGCGUGGGGAGCAAAC
rnacentral:rRNA from 1 species